UAGGGCUUGAGAGUGAAGAAGAGAAGAAGAAGAGAAGAAGGAGAAAAAGAAAAGAAGGAAGAGGAGAGCAACAAGUUUCCGUCAAGGAUCCUCGUGGAUAUCGUCGGGGGUGAUCCCUAUCAAGAUUUCUUUCCUCAUUUGCAUUUCGAUAAUCGGGCCAUGGAGGCCCAAUUCUGCCCUUUUAUCGAGUCAGCCAGUAAAGGGAAUAAAUGUGCAAGGCUGGAACAUCAAAAAUACAGAUCCCGGGAGCCAAAAACACACUGAUGUACAGUGUGAUACACAGAUAUACAUCAGCCGUAUAC